rnacentral:rRNA from 1 species
CAGCAGCCGCGGGAAUACGGAGGAUCCAAGCGUUAUCCGGAUUUAUUGGGCGUAAAGGGUGCGUAGGCGGUUUGGCAAGCCUUGUGUGAAAUCUUCGGGCUCAACCCGAAGCCUGCACGAGAAACUACCGGGCUUGAGUAUUGGAGAGGUGAGUGGAAUUUCCGGUGUAGCGGUGAAAUGCGUAGAUAUCGGAAGGAACACCUGUGGCGAAAGCGGCUCACUGGACAAUAACUGACGCUGAUGCACGAAAGCUAGGGGAGCAAACAGGAUUAGAUACCCGAGUAGUCCCUGUCUCUUAUAC